GGGUUGUGAGGUUAAGCGACUAAGCGUACACGGUGGAUGCCCUGGCAGUCAGAGGCGAUGAAGGACGUGCUAAUCUGCGAUAAGCGUCGGUAAGGUGAUAUGAACCGUUAUAACCGGCGAUUUCCGAAUGGGGAAACCCAGUGUGUUUCGACACACUAUCAUUAACUGAAUCCAUAGGUUAAUGAGGCGAACCGGGGGAACUGAAACAUCUAAGUACCCCGAGGAAAAGAAAUCAACCGAGAUUCCCCCAGUAGCGGCGAGCGAACGGGGAGCAGCCCAGAGCCUGAAUCAGUGUGUGUGUUAGUGGAAGCGUCUGGAAAGGCGCGCGAUACAGGGUGACAGCCCCGUACACAAAAAUGCACAUGCUGUGAGCUCGAUGAGUAGGGCGGGACACGUGGUAUCCUGUCUGAAUAUGGGGGGACCAUCCUCCAAGGCUAAAUACUCCUGACUGACCGAUAGUGAACCAGUACCGUGAGGGAAAGGCGAAAAGAACCCCGGCGAGGGGAGUGAAAAAGAACCUGAAACCGUGUACGUACAAGCAGUGGGAGCACAGAGCAAUCUGUGUGACUGCGUACCUUUUGUAUAAUGGGUCAGCGACUUAUAUUCUGUAGCAAGGUUAACCGAAUAGGGGAGCCGAAGGGAAACCGAGUCUUAACUGGGCGUUAAGUUGCAGGGUAUAGACCCGAAACCCGGUGAUCUAGCCAUGGGCAGGUUGAAGGUUGGGUAACACUAACUGGAGGACCGAACCGACUAAUGUUGAAAAAUUAGCGGAUGACUUGUGGCUGGGGGUGAAAGGCCAAUCAAACCGGGAGAUAGCUGGUUCUCCCCGAAAGCUAUUUAGGUAGCGCCUCGUGAAUUCAUCUCCGGGGGUAGAGCACUGUUUCGGCAAGGGGGUCAUCCCGACUUACCAACCCGAUGCAAACUGCGAAUACCGGAGAAUGUUAUCACGGGAGACACACGGCGGGUGCUAACGUCCGUCGUGAAGAGGGAAACAACCCAGACCGCCAGCUAAGGUCCCAAAGUCAUGGUUAAGUGGGAAACGAUGUGGGAAGGCCCAGACAGCCAGGAUGUUGGCUUAGAAGCAGCCAUCAUUUAAAGAAAGCGUAAUAGCUCACUGGUCGAGUCGGCCUGCGCGGAAGAUGUAACGGGGCUAAACCAUGCACCGAAGCUGCGGCAGCGACGCUUAUGCGUUGUUGGGUAGGGGAGCGUUCUGUAAGCCUGCGAAGGUGUGCUGUGAGGCAUGCUGGAGGUAUCAGAAGUGCGAAUGCUGACAUAAGUAACGAUAAAGCGGGUGAAAAGCCCGCUCGCCGGAAGACCAAGGGUUCCUGUCCAACGUUAAUCGGGGCAGGGUGAGUCGACCCCUAAGGCGAGGCCGAAAGGCGUAGUCGAUGGGAAACAGGUUAAUAUUCCUGUACUUGGUGUUACUGCGAAGGGGGGACGGAGAAGGCUAUGUUGGCCGGGCGACGGUUGUCCCGGUUUAAGCGUGUAGGCUGGUUUUCCAGGCAAAUCCGGAAAAUCAAGGCUGAGGCGUGAUGACGAGGCACUACGGUGCUGAAGCAACAAAUGCCCUGCUUCCAGGAAAAGCCUCUAAGCAUCAGGUAACAUCAAAUCGUACCCCAAACCGACACAGGUGGUCAGGUAGAGAAUACCAAGGCGCUUGAGAGAACUCGGGUGAAGGAACUAGGCAAAAUGGUGCCGUAACUUCGGGAGAAGGCACGCUGAUAUGUAGGUGAAGUCCCUCGCGGAUGGAGCUGAAAUCAGUCGAAGAUACCAGCUGGCUGCAACUGUUUAUUAAAAACACAGCACUGUGCAAACACGAAAGUGGACGUAUACGGUGUGACGCCUGCCCGGUGCCGGAAGGUUAAUUGAUGGGGUCAGCGCAAGCGAAGCUCUUGAUCGAAGCCCCGGUAAACGGCGGCCGUAACUAUAACGGUCCUAAGGUAGCGAAAUUCCUUGUCGGGUAAGUUCCGACCUGCACGAAUGGCGUAAUGAUGGCCAGGCUGUCUCCACCCGAGACUCAGUGAAAUUGAACUCGCUGUGAAGAUGCAGUGUACCCGCGGCAAGACGGAAAGACCCCGUGAACCUUUACUAUAGCUUGACACUGAACAUUGAGCCUUGAUGUGUAGGAUAGGUGGGAGGCUUUGAAGUGUGGACGCCAGUCUGCAUGGAGCCGACCUUGAAAUACCACCCUUUAAUGUUUGAUGUUCUAACGUUGACCCGUGAUCCGGGUUGCGGACAGUGUCUGGUGGGUAGUUUGACUGGGGCGGUCUCCUCCUAAAGAGUAACGGAGGAGCACGAAGGUUGGCUAAUCCUGGUCGGACAUCAGGAGGUUAGUGCAAUGGCAUAAGCCAGCUUGACUGCGAGCGUGACGGCGCGAGCAGGUGCGAAAGCAGGUCAUAGUGAUCCGGUGGUUCUGAAUGGAAGGGCCAUCGCUCAACGGAUAAAAGGUACUCCGGGGAUAACAGGCUGAUACCGCCCAAGAGUUCAUAUCGACGGCGGUGUUUGGCACCUCGAUGUCGGCUCAUCACAUCCUGGGGCUGAAGUAGGUCCCAAGGGUAUGGCUGUUCGCCAUUUAAAGUGGUACGCGAGCUGGGUUUAGAACGUCGUGAGACAGUUCGGUCCCUAUCUGCCGUGGGCGCUGGAGAAUUGAGGGGGGCUGCUCCUAGUACGAGAGGACCGGAGUGGACGCAUCACUGGUGUUCGGGUUGUCAUGCCAAUGGCACUGCCCGGUAGCUAAAUGCGGAAGAGAUAAGUGCUGAAAGCAUCUAAGCACGAAACUUGCCCCGAGAUGAGUUCUCCCUGACUCCUUGAGAGUCCUGAAGGAACGUUGAAGACGACGACGUUGAUAGGCCGGGUGUGUAAGCGCAGCGAUGCGUUGAGCUAACCGGUACUAAUGAACCGUGAGGCUUAACCUUACAACGCCGAAG
rnacentral:rRNA from 1 species